GACAGAGGGUGCAAACGUUGUUCGGAAUUACUGGGCGUAAAGCGAGUGUAGGCGGUCUUGUAAGCCAGAUGUGAAAUCCCCGGGCUUAACCUGGGAAUGGCAUUUGGGACUGCAAGGCUUGAGUUUGGCAGAGGAGACUGGAAUUCCUGGUGUAGCAGUGAAAUGCGUAGAUAUCAGGAGGAAUACCGAUGGCGAAGGCAGGUCUCUGGGCUAGAACUGACGCUCAUGCACGAAAGCGUGGGGAGCAAACAGG
rnacentral:rRNA from 1 species